AGAGUUUGAUCCUGGCUCAGAUCGACCGCUGGGGGCAGGCUUAACACAUGCAACUCAAGCGGCAGCCCGCCUUCCGGUGCUGACGAGCGGCGGACGGGUGAGUAAUGCAUGGGAAUCUGCCCGGUAAUGGGGGAUAGCCCGGGGAAACUCGGAUUAAUACCGCAUACGCCCUACGGGGGAAAGCAGGGGAUCUUCGGACCUUGCGUUACCGGAUGAGCCCAUGUCGGAUUAGCUAGUUGGUAGGGUAAAGGCCUACCAAGGCGACGAUCCGUAACUGGUCUGAGAGGAUGAUCAGUCACACCGGAACUGAGACACGGUCCGGACUCCUACGGGAGGCAGCAGUGGGGAAUAUUGGACAAUGGGGGCAACCCUGAUCCAGCCAUGCCGCGUGUGUGAAGAAGGCCUUCGGGUUGUAAAGCACUUUCAGCGGGGAGGAAGGCUCGUUGGCUAAUAUCCAACGGGAUUGACGUUACCCGCAGAAGGAGCACCGGGCAAACUCCGUGCCAGCAGCCGCGGUAAUACGGAGGGUGCGAGCGUUAAUCGGAAUUACUGGGCGUAAAGCGCGCGUAGGCGGCUGGGAAAGUUGGAUGUGAAAGCCCCGGGCUUAACCUGGGAAUUGCAUCCAAAACUACCCGGCUAGAGUGCAGCAGAGGAUGGUGGAAUUCCCGGUGUAGCGGUGAAAUGCGUAGAUAUCGGGAGGAACAUCAGUGGCGAAGGCGACUGUCUGGGCUGACACUGACGCUGAGGUGCGAAAGCGUGGGGAGCAAACAGGAUUAGAUACCCUGGUAGUCCACGCCGUAAACGAUGUCAACUAGCCGUUGGGGAACUUGAUUCCUUAGUGGCGCAGCUAACGCGAUAAGUUGACCGCCUGGGGAGUACGGCCGCAAGGUUAGAACUCAAAUGAAUUGACGGGGGCCCGCACAAGCGGUGGAGCAUGUGGUUUAAUUCGACGCAACGCGAAGAACCUUACCUGGCCUUGACAUCCAGAGAACCCUGCAGAGAUGCGGGGGUGCCUUCGGGAACUCUGAGACAGGUGCUGCAUGGCUGUCGUCAGCUCGUGUUGUGAAAUGUUGGGUUAAGUCCCGUAACGAGCGCAACCCUUGUCCUUAAUUGCCAGCGGGUCAUGCCGGGAACUUUAAGGAGACUGCCGGUGACAAACCGGAGGAAGGUGGGGAUGACGUCAAGUCAUCAUGGCCCUUACGGCCAGGGCUACACACGUGCUACAAUGGGACGUACAAAGGGCUGCAAGACCGCGAGGUGGAGCCAACCCCAAAAAACGUUUCGUAGUCCGGAUUGGAGUCUGCAACUCGACUCCAUGAAGUCGGAAUCGCUAGUAAUCGUGAAUCAGAAUGUCACGGUGAAUACGUUCCCGGGCCUUGUACACACCGCCCGUCACACCAUGGGAGUGGAUUGCACCAGAAGUAGGUAGCUUAACCGCAAGGGGGGCGCUUACCACGGUGUGGUUCAUGACUGGGGUGAAGUCGUAACAAGGUAACC
rnacentral:rRNA from 1 species